rnacentral:rRNA from 1 species
AUUGAACGCUGGCGGAAUGCUUUACACAUGCAAGUCGAACGGCAGCACGGACUUCGGUCUGGUGGCGAGUGGCGAACGGGUGAGUAAUAUAUCGGAACGUAUCCGAUAAUGGGGGAUAACUAAUCGAAAGGUUGGCUAAUACCGCAUACGUCCUACGGGAGAAAGCUAGGGACCUUCGGGCCUGGCGUUAAUGGAGCGGCCGAUAUCGGAUUAGCUAGUUGGUGAGGUAAAGGCUCACCAAGGCGACGAUCCGUAGCUGGUCUGAGAGGACGACCAGCCACACUGGAACUGAGACACGGGCCAGACUCCUACGGGAGUCAGCAGUGGGGAAUUUUGGACAAUGGGCGAAAGCCUGAUCCAGCCAUUCCGCGUGAGUGAAGAAGGCCUUCGGGUUGUAAAGCUCUUUCGCAAGAGAAGAAAACUUACCCUCUAACAUAGGGUGAGGUUGACGGUAUCUUGAUAAGAAGCACCGGCUAACUACGUGCCAGCAGCCGCCGUAA